rnacentral:misc_RNA from 1 species
GUAGGUGAACCUGCGGAAGGAUCAUUAAAAAGGAUACCGGGCAACCGGUAGACCCCACCCGUGUCUAUCUACUCUUGUUGCUUUGGCAGGCCGUGGCCUCCACCGUGGGCUCUGCCUGCGCGUGCCUGCCAGAGGACCAAACUCUGAAUUUUAGUGAUGUCUGAGUACUAUAUAAUAGUUAAAACUUUCAACAACGGAUCUCUUGGUUCUG